GCGGGUGGGUGCGGGAACACAGACCCGAUGCGCGAGCGGGAGCUGGCGCAGGGGAUCCGAACUGGCGAGUUCAAGUCACCUGGGAUGGCAAGUGCUGCCAGGAGCGCGCCGGUGCGAGUCGCCGCAGCCUGCAGCCAGCUGCUGUUGCCGCCGCCGCUCGGUCGUGGGCUAGCGCGCAGGAGAACAGAAGUGUCAGCAGAGGACUGUAAGUGCUAUGUGAUUGGACGACGGUGGCCAUAGAAUUUCACCUGCCCAGCACGUAUUCUCUCAUCCUCUCCUCCUCUGCCUUCUUUGGGAGGGAGAAAUCAGAAGGAGUGGGGAUGCAGUUCAGAGAGCAGAGGAGAAGAGAAGAAAAGAAGGAAGAAGGAAGAGGACUAGGGUUGGGUGGGGGGGGAGGACACCAAUGGGAAGAGGGACAGAUCAACUCUAUACACAAAAGUAAAUCAAAACACCAAAAACAGGGGUCUAUGUAAAGAAGCCUCUUCCCGUGAAUUGCUCGUUGCAUAGCUGCAGGGAGGGUGUUUAGGGGCAUAGAGAAUGAAAACAUACCUGUAUUUUGGUGUAGGGAAAUUGUUUCUGUCAAUUCACACCGUCCACACACCACCUCCCACCCCAACCCCGCCACUACCAAAUUCCUCUAAAUAAAAAUAAUUAUGAGAUACAGGCCAACAAAAACGUCAGCGUUAGGCUGUUAUUUAGAGAGAAUUGGAAAGCGUUUGAAUGUGGCCCUGUUGUUUAAUAAACGAUAACAAUGAUUACUAAGUUGUCCUGAGUCAAUACAACAAAUUUAGCAAAUGGUCCUUUGGGUCCUUAUAAAGUGAAGAGUUGACGGAGACAGAUUUGUAUAUGGGGCAGGGAUGGAAUGGUAGUCAGUCCUGGAGAAAUAAGAACCCCGGGAGGUGAUGAAAUAUGUACAAGUAUGUUUAUCACAGAAACACUCAUAUUGGGCAAAUCAGGGCACAAAGCAAGUAUGCAUCAGGUGAGGAGUGACUGAUACAUUGGCAGUGCAGCCAUUCUGAGGAUUAUUAUGCAACCAUUAACAAGUAUGAGUUAUCUCUAUAUAAGCUGAUUUAAGGGGAUUUCCAGAAUGUGCUAUUACCAGGCGAGAAAAGCAGGUUUGUUGUCAUUUUGGUGCAAACAAAAGGAGAUGGGCCUUGGAGUCAGAUUGACUAGUAGGCUGAAUUUCAGAGCAAAACACUUAACCAUUCUUGAGCCUCAGUGUGUGCUCAGAGUUUGAAUUUCAGAAACCCUAAUUAAGCAUCUUACAAAUUUCAUUUGUGACAAGCAGUUUUGCCCCAGCUCUGCUUAGAAACCGAGCCAAAGGGCUGUAUUGACUGAUGGUUUUUGCAUAGCAUUCCAGAUAUUUUUCUCUCUGAGAACCAAUUCACCUUCUAACACACGCUUG
rnacentral:lncRNA from 1 species